AUAGGGACAAAAAUGUGAAUUCAAUCGUUGCCGAAAAUGUUGUAAAGAUAUAGCAGCUGUGGAGUUUCUCGACUGUAAAGGUCACAAGUGGCGUUUCCAAAUAAUCACUAAUGCGGUAGAAAAUCCGAAAGCAACAGUUAUUAAAUCAAACGAUCAAGAUGUUACGGGAACCAUUGAAUUAAGCGAAGAAUUAAAUUCUGAUAAAAAAAAUAUUGAGUUAGUUUUAGAUGCACCUUAGGUUAAUCGAACUAAGAAAUGAUUAAUACCAAUGGAUGCAUAAAAAUAGAUGUCAAAUGGUUUGAAUCAUGGUGUGAAGUAUAAUUAGAAGAUUUAGAGUUUUACAAUUAUUCGCUUCAAUGGUUUAAUCGUUUGUUUGCUAAAUAAUUUGGAUAUUUAUAAUUAAUUACUCAAUUGAAAUGAAAACAAACAAGACGAAUUAAUUACAACCAAUAAAUAAAGUUUAAAGAA
rnacentral:lncRNA from 1 species